CAGGAAUUGUCUGAGGAAUCCAGAUGUUCAUCUGCAACCGUGAACACUACGGUUUCCUUCCCAUGCCCCUGAAAUCGCAGCAGACACUGCAAGAAGAAACUGAGAACUUUGUGCACACGCUAAUCGAAGCUAUGAUCGAUCGUCCUCCCAUUGAACCCUCUCAGUAUGUCUCUGUUCCUCCAAAGCACCCUGACAAGAUGGGAUUUGACGAAGUAAGGAACUUACUUU